UUAAGCCUACGGGAGGCAGCAGUGGGGGAUAUUGCACAAUGGGGGGAACCCUGAUGCAGCGACGCCGCGUGGGUGAAGAAGCGCCUCGGCGCGUAAAGCCCUGUCAGCAGGGAAGAAAAGGACGGUACCUGCAGAAGAAGCCACGGCUAACUACGUGCCAGCAGCCGCGGUAAUACGUAGGUGGCAAGCGUUAUCCGGAAUUACUGGGUGUAAAGGGUGUGUAGGCGGGGCUGCAAGUCAGAUGUGAAAAUUAUGGGCUCAACCCAUAACCUGCGUCUGAAACUGUAGCUCUU
rnacentral:rRNA from 1 species